rnacentral:rRNA from 1 species
UACGGGGGGGGCAAGCGUUGUUCGGAAUUACUGGGCGUAAAGGGCUCGUAGGCGGCCAACUAAGUCGGAUGUGAAAUCCCCAGGCUCAACCUGGGAACUGCAUCUGAUACUGGAUGGCUUGAAUCCGGGAGGGGGAUGCAGAAUUCCAGGUGUAGCGGUGAAAUGCGUAGAUAUCUGGAGGAAUACCGGUGGCGAAGGCGGCAUCCUGGACCGGCAUUGACGCUGAGGAGCGAAAGCCAGGGGAGCAAACGGG